rnacentral:rRNA from 1 species
AACGAACGCUGGCGGCAGGCCUAACACAUGCAAGUCGAACGAGAAGCCACCUUCGGGUGGUGGACAGUGGCAGACGGGUGAGUAACGCGUGGGAACGUGCCUUUCGGUUCGGGAUAACCCAGGGAAACUUGGGCUAAUACCGGAUACGCCCUCCGGGGGAAAGAUUCAUCGCCGAAAGAUCGGCCCGCGUCGGAUUAGCUAGUUGGUAGGGUAAUGGCCUACCAAGGCGACGAUCCGUAGCUGGUCUGAGAGGAUGACCAGCCACACUGGGACUGAGACACGGCCCAGACUCCUACGGGAGGCAGCAGUGGGGAAUAUUGGACAAUGGGCGAAAGCCUGAUCCAGCCAUGCCGCGUGGGUGAAGAAGGCCUUAGGGUUGUAAACCCCUUUCAGCGGGGAAGAUAAUGACGGUACCCGCAGAAGAAGUCCCGGCUAACUCCGUGCCAGCAGCCGCGGUAAAAC